UACGUAGGGUGCAAGCGUUAUCCGGAAUUAUUGGGCGUAAAGAGCUCGUAGGCGGUCUGUCACGUCUGCUGUGAAAACUGGAGGCUCAACCUCCAGCCUGCAGUGGGUACGGGCAGACUAGAGGUGGCGGUAGGGGAGAUUGGAAUUCCUGGGUGUAGCGGUGGAAUGCGCAGAUAUCGAGGAGGAACACCGAUGGCGGAAGGCAGGUCGUCUGGGACAUUAACUGACGCUGAGGAGCGAAAAGCAUGGGGAGCGAACAGG
rnacentral:rRNA from 1 species